GUACCAGCACAAGGAUGAAGGAGAUGGACACAGAGAAUAAUCAACUUCUACCAUAUCAGGGCUUCACUAGGUAGACCAGAAUGACCUCUAACUCAACACCUUCUGCUUGUCUUUUAAGUGUUGAGAUUACAUGCCUAUACCAACAUUUCCAGUCCAAAGAAGAAUUUUUUAAAUGGUUCAUUCCAGGAAGGAUAAACUGAAGGAGGAAGUCUGUUCCCCAGAGUGAGCCCUUCCCUCAGGUCAAGCAGCCCCUCUCAGAGGGGAACUUUAUAUAAGGAAGCUUAGAGGAAAAGAGCCCCUUCCUUCCUUCCUUCCUUCCUUCUACUUGGCUCCUGGAGCUGCUUGCUGCCUUCCAGCAUGGAUUGAAGACCAAUGUGGACUGAAUACCAGCGUCAACUGAAUAACUGCAUGGAUUGAAGACCAGCAGCUCCUCAGAAAGCCUCCAGGCAAUCAGUGCCAGAUUGGGACUGCUGAGGCACCUGGCCAUGUGGACUGAGCAGCUACCAGGUUCCUUGAUUCUCAGGCCUGCAAC